rnacentral:rRNA from 1 species
GACGAACGCUGGCGGCGUGCCUAAUACAUGCAAGUUGAGCGCUGAAGGUUGGUACUUGUACCAACUGGAUGAGCAGCGAACGGGUGAGUAACGCGUGGGGAAUCUGCCUUUGAGCGGGGGACAACAUUUGGAAACGAAUGCUAAUACCGCAUAAAAACUUUAAACACAAGUUUUAAGUUUGAAAGAUGCAAUUGCAUCACUCAAAGAUGAUCCCGCGUUGUAUUAGCUAGUUGGUGAGGUAAAGGCUCACCAAGGCGAUGAUACAUAGCCGACCUGAGAGGGUGAUCGGCCACAGUGGGACUGAGACACGGCCCAAACUCCUACGGGAGGCAGCAGUAGGGGAUCUUCGGCAAUGGACGAAAGUCUGACCGAGCAACGCCGCGUGAGUGAAGAAGGUUUUCGGAUCGUAAAACUCUGUUGGUAGAGAAGAACGUUGGUGAGAGUGGAAAGCUCAUCAAGUGACGGUAACUACCCAGAAAGGGACGGCUAACUACGUG